UCAGGACACCCAGCGUUUUAACUCCCUCACCUCAUCCAAGCCUAGCUGCUAAGAUGCCCUGAGGAUUCAAGAGCCUUUCUUCUGGAGAGCUGUCUAGAGCAGAUCUGUGAUCAAGCUAAGUGUUGCUAAGUGACGAUUUAAGAAAAGAGAAUGAAUGAAUGAUGGCCGCAAGUUACAGCAGGCUGCAAGUUGAACAGAAGAACUUUUCUUUGAUAUCAUCAGUCCUUCUCCCCCAGCACGUCCACAGUCGAGUUCCAGGCAGGAGGGAGAGAAAGUACCCAGCCUGAGAAGAGGUCUCGGGGGCACGCUGUCCACACUUCGGGACUCGGGACACUCUGCCAGCUCUGCGGCCCUGCCAGCGAGGGCACCAGACUCUGCCUGCUCCCCUGACAGAGCCCUCGCUGGUCGAGGUGUUAGUGAACCGAUACUGCUUAAAGCUCGACACGAAGACAGUGAUGGCAGAAAUAAAAAGAAUUCCUUGUGUUAA